rnacentral:tRNA from 1 species
CAAAGAGUAGUUUAAUCUGUUAGAAUCCUGGCUUUGGGAGUCAGGGGUGAGAGUUAGAGUCUCUUCUCUUUGA